GACGAACGCUGGCGGCGUGCUUAACACAUGCAAGUCGAACGGAAAGGCCCUGCUUUUGUGGGGUGCUCGAGUGGCGAACGGGUGAGUAACACGUGAGUAACCUGCCCUUGACUUUGGUAUAACUUCAGGAAACUGGGGCUAAUACCGGAUAGGAGCUCCUGCUGCAUGGUGGGGGUUGGAAAGUUUCGGCGGUUGGGGAUGGACUCGCGGCUUAUCAGCUUGUUGGUGGGGUAGUGGCUUACCAAGGCUUUGACGGGUAGCCGGCCUGAGAGGGUGACCGGCCAAAUUGGGACUGAGAUACGGCCCAGACUCCUACGGGAGGCAGCAGUGGGGAAUAUUGCACAAUGGGCGGAAGCCUGAUGCAGCAACGCCGCGUGCGGGAUGACGGCCUUCGGGUUGUAAACCGCUUUCGCCUGUGACGAAGCGUGAGUGACGGUAAUGGGUAAAGAAGCACCGGCUAACUACGUG
rnacentral:rRNA from 1 species